UUGGACUAGUAACCGGAAGGUUGCAAGUUCAAAUCCCCGAGCUGACAAGACUGAACAACAACCGUACUGUACAAUGUCGCAGAGGUGAAAAUCAUCACUCCCCAAUCAGACAACAAUCAAUCAUCAAUCAGAAGACAUACCUCCUCCUGUUUCCUACCCUAUCACAGUUCCUUUCCCUUGGUUUAAAAACCCCAUCAGUUGUUUGCUCUAGAGCUCAAUCUCUCUGUAAAUGCCAUGUAUGUAGAUCUCUGUGUUUCACUCUCUCUUUGUGUCUUAACCUCUCUUUUGUUUGAGCACCUCCAAAUCACUUUGUCAUCUCCUGUGAGUAUUGUUUUUGGUUAUGGUGUUUGUGUUUGAUUGCUGGUGGGAAAAGGGGAAACCAAGACAAGUCGCCCAUGGGCAUACACUACCCGUAGGUAGACUUUGUUAAAAACACUAGUUAGAACUGGGCGGACCACCCACUGUAUUUUUGGUUAGUUAGGUAGCUGUUGUUAAAAUAGGCUAGUCUAGCUUAGGGGUGUUUUGGAUGCUUAUUGUUUCUUUCCUUGGGUCCAGCUUAGCCCCUUUUCCUGCUCCCCCCAUUACCGUGUGUUUUACAAUAAACCCUGAGUUUGACGGUAUAAUUUCAGUUAUCGUGGUUAUUUCGUUCACACUUUGACUUUGUCACAAUUAUAAUUUGCAUGAGUUAUGUUACGGGUCUCAUUACCAUCCCCCCUAGACUGUCGGGCCAAAAGGGAUUCGUAACACUCCAGCUUCAGCGAUUUUUGCAAUUCGUUCCAGCCAUUGGCAGCAAAGAACUGGAAGGCAGCCAAAGGUGGUGUUGGCUUUGGGGUGACUAGUGAGAUAUACCUGCUGGAGCACGUGCUACGGGUGGGCGUUGUUAUCGUGACCAGUGAGCUGAGAUAAGGUGGAGCUUUACCUAGCAUAGACUUAUUGAUGACCUGGAGCCAGUGGGUCAGGCGACGAAUAUGUAGCGAGGGCCAGCCGACAAUAGCAUACAGGUCGCAGUGGUGGGUGGUAUAUGGGGCUUUGGUGACAAAACGGAUGGCAUGGUGAUAGACUGCAUCCAGUUUGCUGAGUAGAGUGUUGGAGGCUAUUUUGUAAAUUACAUCGCCGAAGUCAAAGAUCGGUAGGAUAGUCAGUUUUACGAGGGUAUGUUUGGCGACGUGAGUGAAGGAGGCUUUGUUGCGAAAUAGGAAGCCGAUUCUAGAUUUAAUUUUGGAUUGGGGAUUUUUAAUAUGAAUCUGGAAGGAGAGUUUACAGUCUCGCCCGACACCUAGGUAUUUGUAGUUGUCCUCAUGUUCUAAUUCAGAACCUUCCAGAGUAGUGAUGCUAGUCGGGCGGGCGGGUGUGGGCAGCGAACGGUUGAAAAGCACGCAUUUAGUUUUACUAUCGUUUAAGAGCAGUUGGAGGCCACGGAAGGAGUGUUGUAUGGCAUUGAAGCUCGUUUGGAUCUUUUUUUUUAUACAAUGUCCAAAGAAGGGCCAGAUGUAUACAGAAUGGUGUCGCCUGCGUAGAGGUGGAUCAGGGAAUCACCCGCAGCAAGAGCGACAUCGUUGAUAUAUACAGAGAAAAUGGUCGGCCCGAGAAUUGAACCCCGUGGUAGCCCCAUAGAGACUGCCAGAGGUCCGAGAGUUUACAUACACUAGGUUGGAGUCAUUAAAACUCAUUUUUCAACCACUCCACAAAUUUCUUGUUAACAAACUAUAGUUUUGGCAAGUCGGAUAGUGCAUCUACUUUGUGCAUGACAAGUAAUAUUUCAACGAUUGUUUACAGACGGGUAAUUUCACCUAUAAUUCACUGUAUCACAAUUCCAAUGGCAUUCCAGAGGGACAUCAGAGACUGUAACGUUCUUUGCUUCACGGAAACAUGGCUCACUGGAGAGACGCAAUCCGAAGCGGUGCAGCCAGCGGGUUUCUCCACGCAUCGCGCCGACAGAAACAAACAUCUUUCUGGUAAGAAGACGGGCGGGGGCGUAUGUCUUAUGGCCAACGUGACAUGGUGUGAUGAAAGAAACAUACAGGAACUCAAAUCCUUCUGUUCACCUGAUUUAGAAUUCCUCACAAUCAAAUGUAGACCGCAUUAUCUACCAAGAGAAUUCUCUUCGAUUAUAAUCACAGCCGUAUAUAUCC
ensembl:lncRNA